rfam:Rahnella aquatilis CIP 78.65 = ATCC 33071, complete genome.
UUUUCGUCUGUAGUAAAGAGGAUGAGAACCUCCGAAGGAGGUUUGAGCUGAGCGAAGCGAGACCACGUUGCUUUAGCAACGGCCCGCAGGGCAAGCAUCGAAGAUGCGCAUCAUCCUCUCUCGCCGACCA